GAGAAACAUUAUGACCGUUGGUUUGGAGGUAUGAGCUAAAUUCAGAGAAUCUCUUGGUAUGUUCAUAAUUGGAAUCCAGAUUUUGUCACAGUUUUCGUGGUUAUUAGUGCUUGUAAUUUAGUCAAAGAAGAGGCCGGGAUCGAAAACAAUUUCCUAUUCAAGUUCAUAGAGAUAAAAAAAAUUACUAAAAUUAGCCAGAAAAAAAAAAAAAAAAAAAAAAAGUAACUCUCUCGUUAUUCUCUCUUGGGUUUUCUUUGAAAAAUUUAGCAUAUCAUGUUCAAUCAAGAUGGUGGAAGAAGUAUCGUCUCGUAUGACAUCGGCGUUGAUAAUUAUUAAGGAGGACGGUCACGUCUCCUUUGGUGUCACAAGGACGGCCGCCAUCUCAUGGCAGUCUUUUACGGUGGGGAGCGAGGCUUUUGACUCAAAGGCUUUAUGGCUACCAUGACGUCAUUUUUGGAUCUCCAGCAUCACCUCUCAACAUGCCCAGUCCUGGCCGAAUGCUGGCAGUGCGCUGGCACCGGGGGCCAAGGCUGAAGGGUUACUUUUUUUUUUUUUUUUNNNNNNNNNNNNNNNNNNNNUUUAUUUGUUAUAUAUAUAUAGGUUUAUAUAUAUAGGUGUAAUUGAUAUAUAUAUAUAUAUAUACGGAGCCGUUUAGAAGCGAACGUCCGAACGGUCCUUAAAAUACGGACGUCCCUCCGUUCUCCACCCUUCGGCGCCGACGACGACGCGCCUCCACCCUAAAAGACUCCAAUAGCGUUCCCGAUCACUUUCCCUCACCGGUGAGUCCAUUUUUUUCUAGUUUUCCGGCGAGAUUGAUCUUGUUUGAAGUUUUGGGUGAUCUCAUUAGAAAACUGGAAAAGAACAGACUCGUCGGGGAGAGAAAGUGGUCAGGGACGCUACUAGAGUCUUCUGGGGUGAAGGCACGCUGUCGUCGGCGUCGGAGAGUGGAGAACGAAGGGACGUCCGCACUUUAAUCCGAGUGCGAACGUCCGCUCUCGAACGGGCCUAUAUAUAUAUAUUUUAUUCAUUUGUUUCAUUCUCUUCUUCUCUCUCAAAUUCUUAAUCUUCUGAUUCUUCUCUCAAAUUCAAAUACCCAUUGCAGCAAUAAAAGAGCUUGAUUAGAGAUUGAUGUUCUCCAGAACCAAAAAAAUUUUGUCUGCUAUCUUUAUAAAUUAUUUAUGAUCCUUAGAAAUUUUUCAUCCUCUCCCAAUUUCACAUCUCUCUCUCACAAUCCUGUUUUAAAAACUGAACAUAAGGUUACUAAUAUCACAUCUUCGAAUUCUUCUUUUUCAGUUGAAAAAUGUUGCUUCGAAUCUCCCUUUUUUUUUCCUUUCUGAAAUCAUGCAUCCGAGAUAUAUGGAAUUGUGCUUAUGAAAUUGUUCUUAUGUUUUUGCAUAUAAGAUUAGAAUUUGGUUUUGUGUUUGGGACCUUGGUUUUGAUAGAAUGAAUUUUAUGUUUCUGAGAUUAAUAGUUUAAAGCCACUCUAAACCAUUUAUAUAGGUAGAAUUUGGAAUGUGCAAUGACUUGUGAAGCUUUUGCUGAGACCUUAAGUUGUCAUUCUAUUUAAACUGUUUUAUAUGCAAAUGAGUGGAAAUUGAUUCAGGAAUGUAAAUAUGUGAACUUAAUUGACAGAACCAGUCAAGAAGCAUGUGGAAGACAAAGUUGGAAAGGCGAUUUUAAAGCAUAUGGCAUUUUAAUGAACGUUUCGGAAUAUCUGCAUUUGAGUAAUUGGUGCAUUCUCAUAAGCAACUUUUUUAUCUGUGUUUAUUGUAAUCCUUGUAUUUCUUUUCUUUUCGGGGGUAAUGGUUUUAUGUUUCUCCAUUAUCCCUCCAUUUGAGUAACUAGAAACAAUGUAACACGAACACUAAAUAUUUAACGAGGUUC
rnacentral:lncRNA from 1 species